UACUCGGGUAGCGAGCGUGCACAGGUGCUGCAUGGCUGUCGUCAGCUCGUGUCGUGAGAUGUUGGUUAGUCCCGCACGAGCGCAACCCUACGCUGAGUUACCAGCACGUGAAGGUGGGGACUCUCAGUGGACUGCCGGCGACAAGCCGGAGGAAGGUGGGGACGACGUCAAGUCAUCAUGGCCCUCAUGUCCAGGGCGACACACGUGCUACAAUGGCCGGCACAACGGGAAGCGAAGUCGCGAGGCAGAGCGGAUCCCUUAAAGCCGGUCCCAGUUCGGAUUGCAGUCUGCAACUCGACUGCAUGAAGUUGGAAUCGCUAGUAAUCGCGGAUCAGCCAAGCCGCGGUGAAUACGUUCCCGGGCCUU
rnacentral:rRNA from 1 species